UUUAGCACUAGUUUUGUUGCAUUCUAUCUAUUUUGUUGUGUUUUACUUUUCAUUCAACUCAGGUAUUUUCUAAUUUGCUUUGUGAUUUCUUUGACCCAUUAGAGAUGUAGAAACACUUGAGAAAGCUCUAUGAUGUACUCCACCUACAAUGGAGAGGUGUUUAACAGGGAUUUUUGUUGCUGAUUUUAUGGAGGGACCGGCUUUCAGAAGUCUUUAAUUCACCAUUUUCAUUGAUGUCACCCUGUUACCAGAAAGAUGUCUCAAUUCUGACCCCAAGAGAUGGUCCAUGGAUCUCAUGCAAGGAAGAUUUCAGGAAUGCCUCUGAGCAGCUGUCAAAAAAUUAAUCCAGAAGAAUUGGAGAUGAUGUCCUCAUACAGAGUUGCAUAUGCUGAGGGUAUAACAGCCACAACGAAGGGAGUUCAAGUAAGUGUCUGCUCUGGUAACUAGCAAGCAACUAAAGCACAAUAUUGCUAGGAUAUAUGGAUCAGAUGGACCUAGCAUUGAAGCAUAUUGACAGAUAAAAACUGACUAAUUUUAUUUUCAUCCAUUCAUUUUACCAAGAUUUAUUGAACAUCUACUAUGUGUCCCCUGAAAAUACAAAGGUGAUUAAGACAAAGCCAUUUUCUACAAGGUGUAUAUGGUCCCAGGUUGGACUAGAAUGCUAUUCUUCCUUGGGAGUAAAGUUCUUUUUGUUUUUUAAUCUAGUUUUUAUAAAGG